GUUUUGUUAUAAAUUAUUUGUAUUGCUAUAUUUUAUAUUAUGUAUUAUCUAUACUGUGGAGAUGUUAGCAAACGAUGAUGAAAGCAUAAGGCAAUGUUUCGCAAAUGUUGUAAAAUCAUGCAGUAAACAUAAGAAUUCAAAAAAGCGUCAUACUUGUGUGG